rnacentral:rRNA from 1 species
AGCGAACGCUGGCGGCAGGCCUAACACAUGCAAGUCGAACGGUCCUUCGGGACAGUGGCGGACGGGUGAGUAACACGUGGGAACGUGCCUUUAGGUUCGGGACAACCCAGGGAAACUUGGGCUAAUACCGGAUGUGCCCUUCGGGGGAAAGAUUUAUCGCCUUUAGAGCGGCCCGCGUCUGAUUAGCUUGUUGGUGAGGUAAUGGCUCACCAAGGCUACGAUCAGUAGCUGGUCUGAGAGGAUGAUCAGCCACACCGGGACUGAGACACGGCCCAGACUCCUACGGGAGGCAGCAGGUGGGGAAUCUUGCGCAAUGGGCGAAAGCCUGACGCAGCCAUGCCGCGUGGA